GACGAACGCUGGCGGCGUGCCUAAUACAUGCAAGUUGAGCGCUGAAGGUUGGUACUUGUACCAACUGGAUGAGCAGCGAACGGGUGAGUAACGCGUGGGGAAUCUGCCUUUGAGCGGGGGACAACAUUUGGAAACGAAUGCUAAUACCGCAUAAAAACUUUAAACACAAGUUUUAAGUUUGAAAGAUGCAAUUGCAUCACUCAAAGAUGAUCCCGCGUUGUAUUAGCUAGUUGGUGAGGUAAAGGCUCACCAAGGCGAUGAUACAUAGCCGACCUGAGAGGGUGAUCGGCCACAUUGGGACUGGGACACGGCCCAAACUCCUUCGGGAGGCAGCAGGAGGGAAUCUUCGGCAAUGGACGAAAGUCUGACCGAGCAACGCCGCGUGAGUGAAGAAGGGUUUCGGAUCGUAAAACUCUGUUGGUAGGGAAGAACGUUGGUGAGAGUGGAAAGCUCAUCAAGUGACGGUAACUACCCAGAAAGGGACGGCUAACUACGUG
rnacentral:rRNA from 1 species